GGAGAGAGGAAGCCGUGGCUGGUGAUGUUAAGAGUCCGCUCUGUGUGUUUACAGGGACCCAAGAACGUCAAGACCAGAAACACGAUGAGAUGUUAGACCCAGCUUCACUCAUCCCACCUACCAUGUCCACGGUAGGACACACAAGCCUGCCUGCUGUCUUCUGAUGUCUUCGACCUGUUUAACAUUGAUGCUUAAUGUUCUAAGCUCUCCACCUGGUGGUGCCAUUUCGUAAAGAUGCUGAUGUGUUAAGACUUUAGCAGUUUAAUAAAGGAUUGUUUUUCUUGUUCGC
rnacentral:sRNA from 1 species